rnacentral:tRNA from 1 species
GGAGAGGUGGCCGAGAGGCCGAAGGCGGCGGUUUGCUAAACCGUUGUAGGGGUAACACUCUACCGGAGGUUCGAAUCCUCUCCUCUCCGCCA